GCACCUUUAUUUUUAAGAGUGUAGCUCAUCAUGUGUUCAUACAUGGGAGGACUAUGAAAGAAGCUGGACAGUUUGUCCAACCGAACCUAAACCGUUACAUGGUUGCAUCCAUUGUCUGUACUUUCAGGAGGGAAAACGGAACUGAGAGGCGGCCAUCUAUAGAAUUCAAAUGGUUAAGGAGCAACGAUUCCAAUAUGUGCAGAGGGUCUUUGAGCUGGAUGCCAUGGCUGACCCACAUGAGUAUACAUCUUCAUUGAGGCAGGGUUCAACCUGACAUAGUGCAAAAGAGGGCUCAACAUCCUUGGUCACCGUGCGGUCACAAGUUCCUGGCCAGAGGGGAGGCAACACCACCAUAUGUGCAGCCAUCAGCAAUCGUGGCGUCCUCCACCACCAUGGCAAACUGGGUCCAUACAACACGGCACAACUCUAGAUUUCUAGAUCAGCUGCACAAUAACAUUCUUCAACAGGAAGGGGAGCCAGGGCAACCAGAGCAGGUCCAAUAUGUUGUCAUUUGGGAUAAUGUGAGUUUCCAUCGUGCUGCUCUGGUUCACACCUGGUUCAAUGCCCACCCCAGGUUCACUGUUCCCUUUUAUUUA